GGUGGGAUGGCCGAGUGGUUAAUGGCAGCAGACUGUAAAUCUGCCCUCUUAUGAGUACGUAGGUUCGAAUCCUACUCCCACCACCA
rnacentral:tRNA from 1 species